rnacentral:rRNA from 1 species
AAUGAACGCUGGCGGCAUGCCUAACACAUGCAAGUCGAACGAGACCUUCGGGUCUAUUCGCACACUGGUGCGUAACCCGUCGGAACCUGCCCUUAGGUUUGGAAUAACUCCCCGAAUGGGGUGCUAAUACCGGAUAUUGUCUUCGAACCAAAGAUUUAACGCCUUUGGAGGGUCCUGCGUUGGAUUAGUUUGUUGUUAGGCUAAAAGCCUACAAAGGGGAGGAUCCAUAGAUGGUUUGAGAGGAAGAUCAGCCACACUGGGAGUGAGACACGGUCGAGAAUCCUACGGGAGGCAGCAGUGGGGAAUAUUGGACAGUGGGGGAAAGCCUGAUCCAGCAAUGACGCGAAAGUGAUGAAAGCCUUAGGGAAGUAAAGCUCUUUUACCCGGGAUGAUAAUGACGUUACCGAGAGAAUAAGCUCCGGCUAACUCCGUG